ensembl:lncRNA
GAAAUGAUCUUGGAUGACCCACGUGAGCCCAAUGUAAUCACAGCGUCCUUGUAAGAGAGAAGCAGGAGGAUCAGUCAGAGGAAGGAGAUGUAAAAAUGGAGAGGGUCAGAGAGGAGAGGAAAUGCUACCCUGUAGCUUUGAAUACGGAGAAGAGUCUAGGAAUGCUGACAAUCUCUAGAAGCUGAAGGAGAGAAAGAAGUAAAGACAAGAAAGCAGAUUCUCCCCAGAGCCUCCAGAGUGGAACGUAGCCUUAUCAACAUCCUGACUCUAGCAAGGAAAUAUCCAGAAUCAACAAAUUCCUGAAGACAGAAAGCAGAUCGACGGUUGCCAGGCAAUGGAAGGAGAGGAGAUGGGGUGACUUUUUAAUAGACAGAAGAUUUCCUUUGGAUCAAAGAAAAUAUUCAGAGACUGAAAUAGUGGUGAGGGUUACACAACCUUGUGAACAAACUGAAUGUCUUUAAUGGGGCUUCCUAGGUGGCUCAGAGGUAAAGAAUUCACCUGCAAUGCAGGAGAUGCAGGAGGGGCAGGUUCAAUCCCUGGGUCAGGAAGAUCCCCUGGAGGAGGAAAUGGCAAACCACUCCAGUAACCUUGCCUGGAAAAUCAUAUGGACAGAGGAGCCUGACGAGCUACAGUCCAUAGGGCUACAAAGAGCUGGACGCAACUGAGCACACAGGUCAUCCCAGGGCACCAGGCUGGGCUCCCUGUGCUACACAGCAGGUUCCCACUAGCCAUGUUAUGCAUGAUAGUAUGCGUUAUGUCAAUCCUAUCUCCCGAUUACUCCCACCUUUCUCUCUUCCCCACCAGGGUCCUUGGGUCGAUUUUCCACAUCUGCAUUUUUAUUCUUGACCUGCAAAUAGAUGUACCAUUUUUCUAGAGAUUUCACAGAAAACAAGUAGUUUUAAUCUCUAUUUAUUGAGCCUUUUAGGGCAAAUUUAAAAUGUGUUAUUAGAAUGAAUCUUAGGUCUUUCAAGGAGGUUCCCUAGUGGCUGAGUUGGUAAAGAAUCCAUCCGCAAUGCAGGAGACCUGGGUUCCAUCCCUGGGUUGGGAAGAUGCCCUGGAGAAGGGAAUGGCUACCCACUUGGAGAGCUCAACAAAGAAGGCUGAAUAACUGUAAACUUGGUGAAAUCUAAUUGUAUUUCUGUUUUGCUAAAUAAACUAUUUGCUCCCCCCUAAAAAAAUAAAGACAUUGAUGGUUACAAAACUAAUACAUGCAAACAAACAAAAGGAGUGGUAAUAUUAAAAUUAGGCAAAGAGGAAAGUAAGGUUAAAAGUACUGAUAAAUCUAACACAAUGAUACAGGUACAGAUGAACAUAAUGUGAUUAUUAAAAAGCAC